CCAGCGCAGCCCAUGAGGGCCACGGCGCAGGCCGAGCUGGGAACUGCCAUCCCACCUGGAAUAUUCACACUUUUAAACCUUGCACUCAUCUGAGCAAGUGCCAUUGGCAAUUCUACACUGGGCACGACACAAACCAUUUCCCAAGGUGUCCACAGAAAGGCGGGAGGGGAGGUUGUCUCUCCCUCCCUCUCUCCGCACCUACAAGCUGCCCCUCAGCCCAAAUCUCAUUUGGCAGAAGCUGCUGGUAAACUGUGGUGUUAGCACUUGCCAUCAAGCCAGAGUGUUUCUCUAGCUGCUCAUUGUCCACCACCAUGCUCAGAGGAUGAAGAAACCAUGGAUGUUGAUGUACCAAGCCCUGAGGGCGGAUUCCUGAACUCUUCCUGUGUCAUUCCUUUGUUCCUUGGAAAUCCUUAAUAAUUUCUUGUUACAGUAGUUUUUCGGGUUUUUUUAUAAGAAUCAGUGAAUUAUUUGUAUUCCAGCCACGUGGGGGAUACUAGCAGAGAACAAAUAAAUCUGAACUGACAAAGCAGGAAAUAUUUCCUAAUUAUUUAGAAGACUGCUGAAGAGAGCUAGGAAACAGACAAAGAAAACCCACAAAAGGAUUAGUUUGUGAAUAAUUUCGUUUGCUGGGCAUGAGAUGUGCCUGUCAUGUUAACUUUAGUUAUCAACUUUCUCCAGAAGACAAGGAAAUGGAGACAGAAGUGCCACCAAAGGGGAGGUACCGAGUGCCCACUCAUUGCACCCGAGAAGAGUGAGCCCCUGCUUGCCCAGUGUCAAGGUGUUUGCUUUGGCUUCAUUUGAAAUAGAAGGAAAUUAGGUCAAAAUUUCACCCAUUUUCUGCUUUCUUGUAUUAGCCAUAUAAUAGACUGAGAAACACUGCUUUAUGACACUGUUCCCUGUUUCACCCCUCUUUUUGAAUUGCUAUAAAAAUAACUGACCAUAGCCAGAACUGGAUUAUGCUUUCCAGCCUUCAGCCUCUCUUAUCAGACCAUGUGGAUGUGUGGGGCAUUUAGACACCUUUUUUCCCCUUCCCUAAUAUCUCCUUUACUGAAACCUGUGCCCCCUCAUCAACACCAAAAGAGCAAAUGAUGCCCAAACCUUUAACAGCAGUCCCCUCCUGUACCAGCGCUUGGGACCACAUGAAUUAAAAAAUACCAUGUGCCAGCUACUGAGGUACGAUGACAAUAUGAAAUUGUCUCUGCUGUUACUUUGCACAAGAAAUAAUGAAGAACUUUCUUUAAUCAGGACUUACAUGCCCUAGAGAAACUGUGGGCACUUCUUUCAGACAGAGCCUUUGUUACAAAAGGAGUGACGGCUGCAGGGGAAAAGCCUGCAGAAUAAAUAACAUUUUAUACUCCACUAGGUGCUAUAAUAACACCCUAUAGUCUUUCAGGAGAUCUUGCUGGUGGAUUUGUGCUAUUUUGAUGAUAGCUGUCGAUUCACAGUUCCUCAGACCAAUUGGCAAUAGGGCCCCUACUGUGUUGUAGAAAGCAUGCACUUUAGCUUUAAAAGCUCAAACCUUUAAUCAAAUUCGAAAUGCCAGAGUAGAAAUUUCAAAUCACUGUCAGUAUAACUUUGCUCACAUCUUCAAGUCUGGAAGUCUCGAAAAUGCUUUUUCAACUCUAUGGUACCAAAUGGAAUUUGCUUAAAUACAGUGGUGAGAAUUUUUAAUGAGGAACAAUUUGUGUUGCUUUAUUUCUCUGUUCAGAUAGAGGCAGUAUGUUAAGCCAUGUUUUCCCUCAUUUUGCUUCUUCAAGUUAAAGCCUUAAACUGUCUUAAUCUUCACCAUUCUGUUUUCACUCUCAGAACAGCUUUUUAAAGGAUUUUUAAAAUGAAAUAGACUGGCUGAUAAAAUUUUACUAAAAAAUCUUGAAAACUGCUAUCUGACAUUCAGCUUUUAAGUUACUCAUUACUAACACUGUAUUGUAUGACAAAAUCCUUAAUGGCUGAUCUUUAACACUUUCCCCCAACAAAACAGACUUCAUCAAGCAAAAAAAAAAAAGAGAUUUCCAAAUUCCACACUUCUACUUUUCACUCAGGACCCAAACCCCAUACAAUAAUAAAGUUCCUAUCAUCAUUAUCAGUCAGAGGGGAAUCCAACUAGCAUUGAGCCAUUGGACACUGGUGUUUAGAGAUCAUUUUCUUUGCACUGCUGUUGCAGUAUCCCUCUGCCAGAGGGGAGGACAUCAUGCACCUGGCAAUGAAUCCUCCUGCAAAUGUUACCAAUUUCUGAGUAACAGCCAUAAAAUCAUUAUCCUGAAAAUAUGAU